rnacentral:rRNA from 1 species
CGCUCCUUGAUAAUUAGAAUUUUUAUAGGGAGCCGGUCCUGCCCAGUGAGAUACGUCUUUAACGGCUGCAGUGAAUAGCUGUGCUAAGGUAGCGCAAUCAAUUGUCUUUUAAUUGGAGAAAGGAAUGAAAGGGUUGACGUGAUGAAAUCUGUCUCACUAUCAAUAAAUAAAAUUUUCUUUUAAGUGAAUAGGCUUAAAUUUUUGCACAAGACGAGAAGACCCUAUCGAGCUUGAUAAAAUUUAUAAAAAUCUUUAUAGAGGUAAGUUUAACUGGGGCCGUGGAGGAGUAAAAAAAGUCUUCUUUUAAUUAAGGUAAAGAUCCAGUAAGGCUGAUAAAAAGAAAAAGCUACCGUAGGGAUAACAGCGUGAUCCUCUUUGAGAGGGCAAAUUGAAGAGAGGGUUUGCGACCUCGAUGUUGGCUCAGGAUUUCUGUCCGGUGUAGAGGCUGGAUAAGUAGGCCUGUUCGUCCUUUAAAAUCCUACA